AGUACAUCCAGGACCCAACUUGAACAUGAUCAUAGAUGCUAAUGGAACAGGAAAAUCAAGCAUUGUUUGUGCUAUCUGCCUGGGACUGGCUGAAAAACCUUCUUUUAUAGGGCAAGCUGAUAAGGUGUCUGAAUUGUAGAAUAACCCUGGUCCAGGGGCAAGAGCUUUUACCAAAGGGAUGGCCUUACUUAACUGCUUGUCGUCUUGGCUGAAUUGUAAGAUGGAAACAUCUGAAUUCUACUGGAACCUUAGUAGACUAGGUGUUACGUUUUGAAGACAUCUAGGCCUCCAUAGUGAGGUCACUGAGGAAUACAUUGAACAAGACUGGACCCAGC